AGUGAGGAAUAUUGGUCAAUGGGUGCAAGCCUGAACCAGCCAUCCCGCGUGAAGGACGACUGCCCUAUGGGUCGUAAACUUCUUUUGUGUAGGGAUACACCUACCCUCGUGAGGGUAGCUGAAGGUACUAUACGAAUAAGCACCGGCUAACUCCGUCCCAGCAGCCGCGGUAAUACGGAGGGUGCAAGCGUUAUCCGGAUUUAUUGGGUUUAAAGGGUCCGUAGGCGGACUUAUAAGUCAGUGGUGAAAGCCUGUCGCUUAACGAUAGAACUGCCAUUGAUACUGUAAGUCUUGAGUAUAUUUGAGGUAGCUGGAAUAAGUAGUGUAGCGGUGAAAUGCAUAGAUAUUACUUAGAACGCCAAGUGCGAAGGCAGGUUACCAAGAUAUAACUGACGCUGAGGGACGAAAGCGUGGGGAGCG
rnacentral:rRNA from 1 species